rnacentral:rRNA from 1 species
UGGGGAAUCUUCCGCAAUGGGCGAAAGCCUGACGGAGCAACGCCGCGUGAGUGAAGAAGGUCUUCGGAUCGUAAAGCUCUGUCGAAGGGGACGAACGUAGUUCUUGUGAAUAAUGAGAGCUAAUGACGGUACCUUUCAAGAAAGCCACGGCUAACUACGUGCCAGCAGCCGCGGUAAUACGUAGGUGGCGAGCGUUGUCCGGAAUGAUUGGGCGUAAAGGGAGCGCAGGCGGGAAAGUAAGUCUAUCUUAAAAGUGCGGGGCUCAACCCCGUGAGGGGAUGGAAACUAUUUUUCUUGAGUGCAGGAGAGGAAAGCGGAAUUCCUAGUGUAGCGGUGAAAUGCGUAGAUAUUAGGAGGAACACCAGUGGCGAAGGCGGCUUUCUGGACUGUAACUGACGCUGAGGCUCGAAAGCCAGGGGAGCGAACGGG